rnacentral:lncRNA from 1 species
AUUUCCUCUUUCAUACACAUUUCUUGGUAGCAAUUUUUGAUUUCCGUGUGAUUCUUUUAUACAUUUACAUCGUACCAAUGUAUGCUUUGUAAAUAAAAUGAUAUAGAAACACUUAAACAGACAAUACAAAUACUGACCUAAUUUUUCAUCCGACAUCUUGGGAUGACCGUGAAUGCAGUUACGGUCAUCAGCUUUACCCCAGUGAA